UGGGUGAUCCCAUGCUGCCGAGAAAAGCCUCUAGCGAGCCGAAGGUGCCCGUACCGGAAACCGACACAGGUGGGCGCGUGGAGAACACGAAGGCGCGCGGGAGAACUCUCGUUAAGGAACUCGGCAAAAUGACCCCGUAACUUCGGGAGAAGGGGUGCUGACUUUAAGUCAGCCGCAGUGAAUAGGCCCAAGCAACUGUUUAUCAAAAACACAGCUCUCUGCUAAAUCGUAAGAUGAUGUAUAGGGGGUGACGCCUGCCCGGUGCUGGAAGGUUAAGAGG
rnacentral:rRNA from 1 species